UUAUGACAGAAGUUUACCGAGUUGGCCAACUUGUCAUAAUAGAAAGAUCUUCCCUAAGUUUAGUCAAACUCGGUAAACUUUCUGGCUUGCCUCCUGAAGAGCCUGGGGAAGAAGUAGUCUAAGAAUGCUUGCUUGAAGCGAUCCCAGGUGAUGGGUACUCCACCCCAAAGUUUUUGCUGUAAGAGCUCCCGGUGCAGAAUACCACCAUGGAUCAGCCAUAUCUACUAACAUAUUGGUGGCAUACUCCACCUUUUAGUCAUUGGUAUAAUAUAGAGCUCUGAAAAUCUUCUCUAUCCUCAUCCAAUUUUCAGCAUCUAAAGCUUCCAACUUGCCAUUGAAAGCUGGAGGGUGUUGCCGCGAAACUCAUAGGGUACACCCGAGGGGAGCCUUAGGUACCAUGCCAUGGCCAUCGGCAAAAGUCUGGAAAAUUCAUGUGGCAGCAGUAGCAAGAAUUUUGGGGUCACCGUGCUGUGAUUCUGUGGACUCCUCACGACACACCGCCCAUGAAAUGGGUGUUUUCUUUGAGUUUGUCUUACCAGAGUUCUAGCGUGUUUAUGGCUCAUUUUUCUGAUUUGUGGUGAGGGACCCAAGAGUAUGGGGUUUGUGGGAAGGCAUUAUACCAUGAGAGACUGCAUAGUAUUCACAUUACAUAAAGAGAAUAAGAAUACUCACUUUAGAAUUGCUGUCACCGUGGCUAUUUGAUAGAACCUAGUGGCAUAUUUCCUGCUUCUAGGAGCCUGUAGCAUGAUGCUUUAGAGGGAUUAAACCAGUACUCGAAGAGAGCCGUGUGGAUGUUUUUGGAGGCUGCAAAUUACCUAGGGUGCAGGGAGUGAUUGUGACAGGGAAUCCUUGGGUUGGUAGAGGAGAGACUGGUGGCACAAAGUGUGAAUGGAGGCUGUCGUGGCUUCUGCGGUAGUUGGUUAAAAAUAUAGGAACAUAGGAGCCUAAUGCCACUAAUCCUCCUCUGUACCGCCCCACUUUCCAAGUCAGACUCUUGAGUUCAAUUGCUAAGAGAUUCGAAGGAGUCUCCUAAAACUCUGCUGCAACCAAGGUCGAGGAUAGAAGAGUUCAGUCUUUGGUGAUUCGCCCUAUGUUACAGCAACUUUAAAGACUGAACUUAGGAUGCUUAA